UGUGGGCUGGGCCUCUACCGCUAUAUAAGGCCGGGGGGGGGAGUGAAGGUAGUUGUGGUGUCGGUGGUGGUGCAGUGGUUUGCCUGUGGUGUGCUUGGCGGCCCCGGUCCGGCGAGGCGAUGUCUGAUCCCGCUCAGCAACCUGCUCCUGGAGCCUCAGAAGAGGGAGCCCCUGGUGGGGCCCCCUCGAGCAGUCCUCUAAUGCCAGUAUUAACCAUCGGCUGCAGCAGGCACAGGCUGAAGUAGAAGAGUUAUUUGAGACUGAGGAUAUGAUGACUAUGUUCGGGAAGGGGGAGUGACACAGGCUUGAUGAACUUUCCAGGUUAACGACUGGCUGUGCCGCUGGUGUUGGCAACAGGGUUUUGGUUUCUACGACCAUGGGACCCUGUCUGAAGAUCGACAACUGAUGGCGAGAGAUGGGAUCCACCUCACGAGGCGGGGCACGCGGGUCUUUGCCAACAGGUUGGCCAACCUGGUAAGGAGGGCUUUAAACUAGGAAAGAUGGGGGAAGGGGAGAGUUAUAGUG
rnacentral:lncRNA from 1 species